AUUCUCCGGCGGCGGCAUUAAUAUUUCGAAACUUCUCCAUUUAAUUCUCUGAUUUCACCUCUAUUUCGUGCAUAAAGACAACUUUUGGAUGACUGCGUCAUCAGAAAUGUUUUCCUGUGUAGCGAAAAGUGCUGAGCUAUGGAUUCACUUCACCUCAACACAAUCCCUAAUUUCUAGGAAGGAUAAAUUCAUAUUGUGAACUUAUAGAGGAUCAACAUUGAAGACGAACAGGCAACAGAGCUAAAGACGGCGACUGGCUAGGAUGGUGCUGGCAAGCUACGACAACGUGUACAAUUGUUGGGGGAGAAACUGGAGCCAAGCUUAUCGGGUUGUGCUGUAGACCAUGAUCCGGUCCAUGUAAAGUUGACCAGAGGGACGCGUAAUGACGUUACGGAGCGGGAGCUGCAAGAUUGGGGCAAGAAAUGGCGUGGUAACCAACAACAGCGCCAAAGGGAGACGUAAGAAUGACAGAAUGAGGACAGUAGGUACAUCUACCACCAUUCUGACAGCAGACUUACGCAAGGGUGCGGCUGUCCAGGGAGCACCAUUUGCAAACUUGAUGCGAAUGGCGGAAGAACGAAGCUGGCAAUGCUGGCUUGAGAGCCUGUUUCAAGAUCAGGGGCGUGGCUGUCACUGAGGUUGUCCAAGAGAGACCCGAUGCUAUAUUACUGUUGAAAAAGACAAAGCGGUUUGGUUUGGCAUUGACUGACAAACUGUCAAAAAGCAUGGUUUUAAGAUUGGAGGACAGGGAUGUCACAGAGGUCUGGAAAAACUAUUGCUAACUAGGAUGCACUCGCAUCUAGAACACCUGCUGUGAAGGAGGGCUGGCCUGCAUGGUUUCAAGGAUUAGAUGAGAUUGAGAGAUACAACAUACAUGGAGAAACAUGCGUCCUUCACAUAAAUGUCUGUAAAGAGGGAUUCAGUUGACUUUUGAAGGAGCAAAUAUUUUGAGUAAGAAAAUUGCUCUUCAUAUUCCGUCAACUAGUCGAAAAGCUGUCAGCAUUGAAGUUUCUUGCCUUCAUUCAGGCAAGAGAGAAUGCAG